CCAAAAGCUGGCGACCGGCGCACGGGUGAGUAACACGUAUCCAACCUGCCUCAUACUCGGGGAUAGCCUUUCGAAAGAAAGAUUAAUAUCCGAUAGCAUAUAUUUCCCGCAUGGGUUUUAUAUUAAAGAAAUUCGGCAUGAGAUGGGGAUGCGUUCCAUUAGUUUGUUGGGGGGUAACGGCCCACCAAGACUACGAUGGAUAGGGGUUCUGAGAGGAAGGUCCCCCACAUUGGAACUGAGACACGGUCCAA
rnacentral:rRNA from 1 species